UACGAGGGGGGCGAGCGUUGUUCGGAAUUAUUGGGCGUAAAGGGUGCGUAGGCGGUUUGGUAAGUCUUGUGUGAAAUCUACAGGCUCAACUUGUAGUCUGCACGAGAAACUGCCGGGCUUGAGUGCGGCAGAGGAGACUGGAAUUCCUGGUGUAGCAGUGAAAUGCGUAGAUAUCAGGAGGAACACCGGUGGCGAAGGCGGGUCUCUGGGCAGUAACUGACGCUGAGGAGCGAAAGCAUGGGGAGCGAACAGG
rnacentral:rRNA from 1 species